UACGUAGGUCCCGAGCGUUGUCCGGAUCUAUUGGGCGUAAAGCGAGCGCAGGUGGUUUAUUAAGUCUGGUGUAAAAGGCAGUGGCUCAACCAUUGUAUGCAUUGGAAACUGGUAGACUUGAGUGCAGGAGAGGAGAGUGGAAUUCCAUGUGUAGCGGUGAAAUGCGUAGAUAUAUGGAGGAACACCGGUGGCGAAAGCGGCUCUCUGGCCUGUAACUGACACUGAGGCUCGAAAGCGUGGGGAGCAAACAGG
rnacentral:rRNA from 1 species